rnacentral:rRNA from 1 species
CUUUAAGCGAGGAGGAGGCUACUUUAGUUAAUACCUAGAGAUAGUGGACGUUACUCGCAGAAUAAGCACCGGCUAACUCUGUGCCAGCACCCGCGGUAAUACAGAGGGUGCAAGCGUUAAUCGGAUUUACUGGGCGUAAAGCGCGCGUAGGCGGCUAAUUAAGUCAAAUGUGAAAUCCCCGAGCUUAACUUGGGAAUUGCAUUCGAUACUGGUUAGCUAGAGUGUGGGAGAGGAUGGUAGAAUUCCAGGUGUAGCGGUGAAAUGCGUAGAGAUCUGGAGGAAUACCGAUGGCGAAGGCAGCCAUCUGGCCUAACACUGACGCUGAGGUGCGAAAGCAUGGGGAGCACACAGGAUUAGAUACCCUGGUAGUCCAUGCCGUAAACGAUGUCUACUANCCGUUGGGGCCUUUGAGNCUUUAGUGGCGCAGCUAACGCGAUAAGUAGACCNCCUGGGGAGUACGGUCGCAAGACUAAAACUCAAAUGAAUUGACGGGGGCCCGCACAAGCGGUGGAGCAUGUGGUUUAAUUCGAUGCAACNCGAAGAACCUUACCUGGCCUUGACAUAGUAAGAACUUUCCAGAGAUGGAUUGUUGCCUUCGGGAACUUACAUACAGGUGCUGCAUGNCUGUCGUCAGCUCGUGUCGUGAGAUGUUGGGGUAAGUCCCGCAACGAGCGCAACCCUUUUCCUUAUUUGCCAGCGAGUAAUGUCGGGANCUUUAAGGAUACUCCCAGUGACACACUGGAGGAAGGNGGGGACGACGUCAAGUCAUCAUGGCCCUUACGGCCAGGGCGACACACGUGCUACAAUGGUGGGUACAAAGGGUUGCUACCUAGCGAUAGGAUGCUAAUCUCACAAAGCCGAUCGUAGUCCGGAUUGGAGUCUGCAACUCGACUCCAUGAAGUCGGAAUCGCUAGUAAUCGCGGAUCAGAAUACCNCGGUGA